rnacentral:rRNA from 1 species
GAUGAACGCUGGCGGCGUGCCUAAUACAUGCAAGUCGAGCGAACGGACGAGAAGCUUGCUUCUCUGAUGUUAGCGGCGGACGGGUGAGUAACACGUGGAUAACCUACCUAUAAGACUGGGAUAACUUCGGGAAACCGGAGCUAAUACCGGAUAAUAUUUUGAACCGCAUGGUUCAAAAGUGAAAGACGGUCUUGCUGUCACUUAUAGAUGGAUCCGCGCUGCAUUAGCUAGUUGGUAAGGUAACGGCUUACCAAGGCAACGAUGCAUAGCCGACCUGAGAGGGUGAUCGGCCACACUGGAACUGAGACACGGUCCAGACUCCUACGGGAGGCAGCAGUAGGGAAUCUUCCGCAAUGGGCGAAAGCCUGACGGAGCAACGCCGCGUGAGUGAUGAAGGUCUUCGGAUUGUAAAACUCUGUUAUUAGGGAAGAACAUAUGUGUAAGUAACUGUGCACAUCUUGACGGUACCUAAUCAGAAAGCCACGGCUAACUACGUGCCAGCAGCCGCGGUAAUACGUAGGUGGCAAGCGUUAUCCGGAAUUAUUGGGCGUAAAGCGCGCGUAGGCGGUUUUUUAAGUCUGAUGUGAAAGCCCACGGCUCAACCGUGGAGGGUCAUUGGAAACUGGAAAACUUGAGUGCAGAAGAGGAAAGUGGAAUUCCAUGUGUAGCGGUGAAAUGCGCAGAGAUAUGGAGGAACACCAGUGGCGAAGGCGACUUUCUGGUCUGCAACUGACGCUGAUGUGCGAAAGCGUGGGGAUCAAACAGGAUUAGAUACCCUGGUAGUCCACGCCGUAAACGAUGAGUGCUAAGUGUUAGGGGGUUUCCGCCCCUUAGUGCUGCAGCUAACGCAUUAAGCACUCCGCCUGGGGAGUACGACCGCAAGGUUGAAACUCAAAGGAAUUGACGGGGACCCGCACAAGCGGUGGAGCAUGUGGUUUAAUUCGAAGCAACGCGAAGAACCUUACCAAAUCUUGACAUCCUUUGACAACUCUAGAGAUAGAGCUUUCCCCUUCGGGGGACAAAGUGACAGGUGGUGCAUGGUUGUCGUCAGCUCGUGUCGUGAGAUGUUGGGUUAAGUCCCGCAACGAGCGCAACCCUUAAGCUUAGUUGCCAUCAUUAAGUUGGGCACUCUAAGUUGACUGCCGGUGACAAACCGGAGGAAGGUGGGGAUGACGUCAAAUCAUCAUGCCCCUUAUGAUUUGGGCUACACACGUGCUACAAUGGACAAUACAAAGGGCAGCGAAACCGUGAGGUCAAGCAAAUCCCAUAAAGUUGUUCUCAGUUCGGAUUGUAGUCUGCAACUCGACUACAUGAAGCUGGAAUCGCUAGUAAUCGUAGAUCAGCAUGCUACGGUGAAUACGUUCCCGGGUCU